UCAGUACUGUAGAAGUGCUAGGCUUCUUUGGCUGUACGAUGGUAUUUCACUCAACCAAAAGGUACGGCGUGCUUCAGUUCUUGUGUUUUCACCGAGAUGUUUUGCAUUUGAAACCAUUUUCUUCCAUGGUUUGGUGAGUAAUUGUAAAUGUAAGUGCCGCAUAGAUUAAUCUAUUAUUGUUUAGAGGUGCGGUAAAUUAAUCCAUUAAAUGAAGGAAUGUGUUUUGUAUUCUCAGAUUGAUUUGUUAUUUUUGCGAGGCAUAGGAAUCGAAAGACUCUCUUUCUUGUUUGUGGGGGUGAUUAAAGCAAUCAGCAAGCGAAACAAAGCUAUGCAUCCGUAGACUUGCAGACAUUGGUCAUUGCACACCACAGGAUGGAAUAUCUUUCAAGGGAACUGGUUAGUUCUUACAUGGAAUUCAAGAAAAUCAACCAUACCUUGUUUGUGGCGAGACUUCCACAUUAGAAGCGAAAGUGUUCUCUUUGUAAUCGGAUGGUACCCAGUUUGGGAGCUGUCGGUGUUAAAUGUAAACGGGCGAUGUCAGUUUGAAGGCGAUUACUUUAUUAGGCUCACGCGCGGGCACUUUUAAAGAAUCGAGUCUUCAGAGAGACCUCGAUUCCCUCUUUGCCU